GCUCGGGUAGCUCAAUCUGGUAGAGCGGAAUAUUGAAGUUAUUUUUGUUGUGAGUUCAAAUCUUGCCUCGAGCA
rnacentral:tRNA from 1 species